GACGUAGGGCGCGAGCGUUGUCCGGAUUCAUUGGGCGUAAAGGGUGCGUAGGCGGCGCGGUAAGUCGGGUGUGAAAUCUCGGGGCUUAACUCCGAAACUGCAUUCGAUACUGCCGUGCUUGAGGACUGGAGAGGAGACUGGAAUUUACGGUGUAGCGGUGAAAUGCGUAGAUAUCGUAAGGAAGACCAGUGGCGAAGGCGGGUCUCUGGACAGUUCCUGACGCUGAGGCACGAAGGCCAGGGGAGCAAACGGG
rnacentral:rRNA from 1 species